UACGGAGGGAGCUAGCGUUAUUCGGGAUUACUGGGCGUAAAGCGUACGUAGGCGGCUUUGCAAGUUAGAGGUGAAAGCCUGGAGCUCAACUCCAGAACUGCCUUUAAAACUGCAUCGCUUGAAUCCAGGAGAGGUGAGUGGAAUUCCGAGUGUAGAGGUGAAAUUCGUAGAUAUUCGGAAGAACACCAGUGGCGAAGGCGGCUCACUGGACUGGUAUUGACGCUGAGGUACGAAAGCGUGGGGAGCAAACAGG
rnacentral:rRNA from 1 species